rnacentral:rRNA from 1 species
GACGAACGCUGGCGGCAUGCCUAACACAUGCAAGUCUAGGGGUAGCAAUACCACUGGCGCACGGGUGAGUAACACGUAGGUUAUCUGCCUCCAUCACAGACAUAACCCCGGGAAACCGGGGCUAAUAUCUGAUGAGGUCGCGAGAUCAAAGCUUCGGCGGAUGGGGAUGAGCCUGCGGCUGAUUAGCUAGUUGGUGAGGUAAUGGCUCACCAAGGCGACGAUCAGUAGCUGGUCUGAGAGGACGAACAGCCACACUGGAACUGAGACACGGUCCAGACUCCUACGGGAGGCAGCAGUGAGGAAUAUUGGUCAAUGGGAGCAAUCCUGAACCAGCAAUGCCGCGUGUGGGAUGACAGGGCUUCGCCUUGUAAACCACUGUCGGACGGGACGAAAGGAGGCCUCGGGCCUCUGGGACGGUACCGUCAAAGGAAGGGUCGGCUAACUACGUGCCAGCAGCCGCGGUAAU